rnacentral:misc_RNA from 1 species
ACGAGUAUCACGCUCGCAACCCUUUGUGAACCUUUAUACCCAGUUGCUUCGGCGGCGCUGUUCCCCCCCGGGGGGCGCGCCCGCCGGCGUAUUCAGAAUCUCUGUUUGAACCCGACGUUACCUCUGAGUGUUCUAAGCGAACUGUUAAAACUUUCAGCAACGGAUCUCUUGGCUCUAGCAUCGAUGAAGAACGCAGCGAAACGCGAUAAGUAGUGUGAAUUGCAGAAUUUAGUGAAUCAUCGAAUCUUUGAACGCACAUGGCGCCCCCCGGCAUCCCGGGGGGCAUGCCUGUCCGAGCGUCGUUUCAACCCUCGGGCCCCGCUUCGGCUGGGCCCGGCGUUGGGGGCCUACGCGCUGACGUAGCCCCCGAAAUGCAGUGGCGGACCCGCGCCGGCCCCUCUUUGCGUAGUAGCAACAGCCUCGCAUCGGCGGCCCGCGGCGUCUCCGGCCUCUAAACCCCUCGACAAGCCCGCCCCGGCGGCACCACAG